CAGCAGCCGCGGUAAUACGAAGGGGGCUAGCGUUGUUCGGAUUUACUGGGCGUAAAGCGCACGUAGGCGGAUCGUUAAGUCGGGGGUGAAAUCCUGGAGCUCAACUCCAGAACUGCCUUCGAUACUGGCGAUCUUGAGUCCGGAAGAGGUGAGUGGAACUCCUAGUGUAGAGGUGGAAUUCGUAGAUAUUAGGAAGAACACCAGUGGCGAAGGCGGCUCACUGGUCCGGUACUGACGCUGAGGUGCGAAAGCGUGGGGAGCAAACAGGAUUAGAUACCCCAGUAGUCCCUGUCUCUUAUAC
rnacentral:rRNA from 1 species